AAUGUAGAUUCAGGGAGUACAGACAGCUCCUUCAAGGCACCUGAUUGAGAAAAGAGAAAUGAUGUGGGGUGUGUGGAGACAACAGAGGACUUUAAAGGAGUACUUCUACGUGAGGGUAAACAAUACAAAACCAAAAACAGCAGAGAGAAAUUGAAAGCACAGCUGGACUUCCUAUGCUGAGAACAAACCUCUGAGCACUGGAAAUCUGGAGGCAACUGAUCAAUGCCCACGUCUGGCUAUGUAUGCUUUGGCUAUAACCCAUGGAGGGAGUCAGCAGCACAGAAGGGACCAAAGAAACUUAUCGUAGACUCGAUGGAGCAUCCCUCCUGUGAGCAUUCUUGGGACUUGAAUGAUGUAUUUCAGAGGCCAGCUGUUGAUCCUCAGGAGCGUUCUAAACCGAGACCCACCUUCAAGGAAACUCCUUUACCUCAUUUCUUAUGGAAGCUUCUUCUUCUUUUUUUAUUGUUUUUUUUGAGAGAGAGAGAGAUGGAGGGAUGGAGAGAGAGAGAGAGAGAGACAG